AUAUUUUGAUGAUUAAUUUUAUGUGUCAACUUGUCUGGGUCACUGGGUUCCUAGAUAU
rnacentral:snoRNA from 1 species